rnacentral:rRNA from 1 species
UACGUAGGGUGCGAGCGUUGUCCGGAAUUAUUGGGCGUAAAGAGCUCGUAGGCGGUUUGUCGCGUCUGCUGUGAAAACCUAAGGCUCAACCUUGGGCUUGCAGUGGGUACGGGCAGACUAGAGUGCGGUAGGGGUGACUGGAAUUCCUGGUGUAGCGGUGAAAUGCGCAGAUAUCAGGAGGAACACCGAUUGCGAAGGCAGGUGACUACGUUUGAUUUGACACUGAGGCACGAAAGCAUGGGGAGCAAACAGG